rnacentral:rRNA from 1 species
UACGAAGGGGGCUAGCGUUGCUCGGAAUUACUGGGCGUAAAGCUGACGACGUAGGCGGAUUGUUAAGUCGGGGGUGGAAAUCCUGGAGCCUCGAACUCCAGAACUGCCUUCGAUACUGGCGAUCUCGAGUUCGGGAGAGGUGAGUGGAACUGCGAGUGUAGAGGUGAAAUUCGUAGGAGUAAUUCGCAAGAACACCAGUGG